rnacentral:rRNA from 1 species
AGCGAACGCUGGCGGCAGGCUUAACACAUGCAAGUCGAGCGGGCACUCUCGGGUGUCAGCGGUGGACGGGUGGGUAACGCGUGGGAACGUGCCCUCUGGUUCGGAAUAUCUCAGGGAAACUUGAGUUAAUACCGGAUACGCCAUUUUGGGUAAAGGCCUGCUGCCGGAGGAUUGGCCGGCGUCUGAUUGGCUAGUUGGUGCGUUUACGGCGCACCACGGCGCGGAUCCGAAUCGGGGCUGAGAGGGAGAUCAGACACACCGGGACUGGGACGCGGCCCAGACUCCUACGGGAGGCAGCAGUGGGUAAUGGAGGACAAUGGGGGCAAUCCUGAUCCAGCCAUGCCGGUUGAGUGAUGAUGUCCGUAGGGAAGUAAAGCGCUUUUAACCGUGACGGUAAUGACGGUACCGGAUGAAUAAGCCCCGGCUAACUUCGUG